GUCCCGCCAUUAAUGGUGCAGACAAUUGGAGAGUUGUCAAAUUGUCGGAGGCUGUCAAAUCAUCAUGGAUUGUCAAGUCAUUAAAAUUAAUCCAUAUCCUUGGCAGGACAAUGCCCCAGGAUGGUCGCACAGCAUGUCCUUGAUAAGACAACAGUCCAUAGUGGUUGUACGACGUUUGGAUGGGCUGACCGACUAUAUAUCGGUAUUCGACUAUCGGAACGUCGGGUGACGACUCGAAAAUACCGUCAGCUGAUCUGGUGCUUUGUGGAAGUCGGACGUCGGUUGCCACCCCCG
rnacentral:lncRNA from 1 species